GGAUCAAUGAGUUGGUCGUGCCCUUGGUAUGAACUGGCUUUAUUGGUUCUCACCUUCUAAUGAACCUUAAUGUCAUUCAUUUGAUGUUCUGGGGAAUUAGGACUGUUACCUUGAAAAAAUUAGAGUGUUUAAAGCAGGCUCACGCUUGAAUACAUUAGCAUGGAAUAAUGAAAUAGGACAUCGCAUUCUAUUUUGUUGGUUUCUAGGAUCGAUGUAAUGAUUAAUAGGGAUAGUUG
rnacentral:rRNA from 2 species